AUAACCCCCAUCCCAUCUCCUUCCUUCCCCCUCUCUCUCUCUCUCCUUCCCCUUCACUCCAUAAUUGCAGAUCCAAUCCAAGCGGGCUAGAGAGCUCGGAGCGUCGGAAAUGGCUCCGCUCCCGCGCUUCGGUUGCAGAAGGGUUGCUCUCGUUCUUCUCUGCGUUGCUGUUGUUUUCUUGGGUUCCUUCGUCUUCCUCUGCGCCGGUGCUGGCUCGGAGUCUCGGAUUCGGAGCGAGCAGUCUCUGGGCGCUGCGAGAAGGAGAUUGCUGGAGGUUCGAGAAGUGGAGGACGGUGAUGACCGUAACAUUGUACCCAAAAAGAAGGCCAAACCAACCACGCUCGCUACCACCACGGAGAAGUCCAAGAACCAAACCAAGCUUGCUAAAUCCACUGUCUCCGCCAAAAACCAGACCAACCUGAUGAAACCCAAAUCGAUCCUGUCCUCCAAGAACCAAACCAGGCCGCUCAAGCCCACAAAUUCGACCAAGAAAGCAUCGCCCACAUCCACCAUUCUUGAUAAAUCCGAGCUCAAGAAGCUCAACUCCACCUUGAAGCUCAAGAAGCUGAAUACGACCUCGAAAGCCUCCAAUUCCACCAAAGGCGCCUUGUCUUUGGCCAAGAAAAGCUCAGAUCUGGGGAAGCUAGCCCCACCCGAGAACAAAACCAAAGAGUCCCAGCUCCAACUCAGCAAGAAGCUCGCUCAGUCCGACUCCAAGAAACAGAGCACAAACAGAGACUCCACCGACCAAGAACCCAAGACCCCCAAGACCCAGAAGCCGAAGCAGCCGAACUGGCUCGACUCAGAGGAGAACAACGAUCUGGUCUCCGAGUUCCGAGAUCUGCCCACCAAGUUCCAGCAAACCCUUAUCCCCGACCUCGAGCGAAUCUCCACCACCUCCAAGGCCUACCUCACCCAAGCCAACAAGCAGAUGACCAAGGGCUUCAAGCCCUACGUGGGCAACAAGUACGCGCCCACCAUCGCGACCCUCGUCUCAUGCGCUUUCAUCUUGAUCCCUCUAGUCCUCGUUUCCCUCGUCUUCAAUCGCAUUAAGGCCUACUUCUCCCUCCAGAAGCUCCUCAUCUUCGUCCAGGUCUACCUCUCCAUCUACUUCUCCAUCCUCUGCCUCUCCUCGCUGGCCACCGGGCUCGAGCCCCUGAGGUUCUUCUACGCCACUUCGCGGUCCACGUACGUGUGCAUACAGAUCUUUCAGACGUUUGGGUACGUCCUGUAUUUGCUUCUGCUGCUGAUGUACCUGGUGCUCGUUUUCUCGACCGACACUAGGCUGGGCUCGAAGUUCUUGGGCUUGGUCCAGACCUUCGUGGGCUUCGCCGUCGGGCUGCAUUACUACGUGGCGGUGUUCCACAGGAUGGUGCUCCAUCAGCCGCCGCGGACCAACUGGAAGGUCCACGGGGUCUACGCCGUCUGCUUCCUCGCGAUCUGCUUGUUCGCGAGGGCUGAACGCAGGAAGAAGGCUUACUUGGAAGAUGGUGGUGAGGAGGGCAAGAAGAGCUAAAGCUCAAAGACAUGUGAAUUCUUUGUUGUUACAUAAUCCAGCAUCGGCUCCAAAGGAGUGGAACUUGCAAUCAAAGCAAUUUGGUGCAAGAAUUGGUACAGAAGCUACAAUGGGCUUCUUCGAUGUCCAAGGAUCUGAUUGAGGUCAACCAUUGGACUUUUUCUUAAUUGGGCUUUACUUUUAAAACUGACAUUUUUCUGACGUCAGCUGUCAGGGCAAUGAGAAAAAAGCUAAAGUCCACUCUGUUCAAGAAAUCACUUGAAAAGACCGUUCAUCCAAAAUCACCGGUAAACCCUACUGCCAAAACAACUUGAUGUCUUUCCACCCCGCCCUACUUGCUAUCGGCGGCACCAUCUUAUCGCCUUCGAGCUCAAUCGUCAGCAUUGCAGCGGGCUUCUCCCGAUAGGUUCUAUCUCUGACUGCAACCUCGAUGAGAGAGAGAGAGAGGAGGGGAGGGCGGUCAUGGCGGUUGUGCAAGUAGAGUCAUUGGAGAUGACAACAGAGAUGGAUAUAAUGGCAGAAGCAAUUAUCAACAGUGAAGGCGACAGCAACAGUGAAGACGGCGGUGAGCAAUGUUGCAUUUAUAGAAGAGAGAGAGAGAGAGAGAGGAGAUCAGAUUUGGCAUUUAGAGUUAUGUAGCGGGGUGACUGAGAAGAGUGACAAUGACAUUUUCUUGAAAAGAAAUGACCAUCAGUGAAUGAACCAAUAAUGCCGAAUGUGAUUCGAAAUACAGCAUUAAAGUCCA